rnacentral:tRNA from 1 species
UCCCUGGUGGCUCAGACGGUAAAGUGUCUGCCUACAAUGCAGGAGAUCUGGGUUCGAUCCCUAGGUCGAGAA